rnacentral:rRNA from 1 species
UACGAAGGGGGCUAGCGUUGUUCGGAAUCACUGGGCGUAAAGCGCACGUAGGCGGAUUGUUAAGUCGGGGGUGAAAUCCUGAGGCUCAACCUCAGAACUGCCUUCGAUACUGGCAAUCUCGAGUCCGGAAGAGGUUGGUGGAACAGCUAGUGUAGAGGUGAAAUUCGCAGAUAUCAGGAAGAACACCGAUGGCGAAAGCAGCUCUCUGGGACGGUACUGACGCUGAGGCGCGAAAGCGUGGGGAGCGAACAGG